UACGGGGGGAGCAAGCGUUGUUCGGAUUUACUGGGCGUAAAGGGCGCGUAGGCGGCGUGACAAGUCACUUGUGAAAUCUCCGGGCUUAACCCGGAGCGGCCAAGUGAUACUGUCGUGCUAGAGUGCGGAAGGGGCUACUGGAAUUCCCAGUGUAGCGGUGAAAUGCGUAGAUAUUGGGAAGAACACCUGAGGCGAAGGCGGGUUGCUGGGCUGACACUGACGCUGAGGCGCGAAAGCCAGGGGAGCAAACGGG
rnacentral:rRNA from 1 species